rnacentral:tRNA from 1 species
GUGGCUCUUUGAUCAACGUCGAUAAAUGUCGCGUCUUGAUGAUUUGUAAUCAUCAGGUGGCGGGUUCGAGUCCUGCAGCCGCACCA